AGCAUCGGUGGUUUAGUGGUAAAAUUAGCCGUUGCCAGGCAUUCAUCUGAAUGACGCAACAUCGGCUAGCCCCGGGUUCGAUUCCCGGCCGAUGCAU